AGAAAGAGUGUGUGUGUGUGUGUGUGCGUGUGUGUGUGUAUUUGCCGUGUGCAUAUCACAAAGUUUUCUAAUACAUGUGGGUGUUGGCUACUCCUAUCUCAAGGAAACACCUCUCCCAAGAUGCUCAAUUCAUGACCCACAAAGUCAACAAGGGGAGGUCCUGAACUUAUCAGUGCCUGCUGCUAUGAGUCAUGCCAUUAAUCAAUACCAGUGUGAAUCAUCACAAAGUGUGUCCAGGGAACACAGACCAAGAAUAUCAGUCCUUUAACAAAAGUUUUGGCUGAUAAUUUACACAAUGAAAACAGAAAGGCAAAAGCAACAUAAACUCCUAUACCUAAAUUGCAUUGCAAUAGCACAUAUUCUUUAGAGCAGUGGUCCCCAAACAUUUUGGUGCCAGGGACCAGUUUCGUGGAAGACAAUUUUUUCAUGGACAAGGCAGGGGUGGGUAGAUGGUUUCAGGGUGAAACUGUUUCACCUCAGAUCAUCAGGCAUUAGAUUCUCAUAAGAAGCACGCAACCUAGAUCACAAUAGGGUUUAUUCUCCUAUGAGAAUCUAAUGCCA